UACGUAGGGGGGCAAGCGUUGUCCGGAUUUAUUGGGCGUAAAGAGCGUGUAGGCGGCCAGAUAGGUCCGUUGUGAAAAACUCGAGGCUCAACCUCGAGACGCCGAUGGAAACCAUCUGGCUAGAGUCCGGAAGAGGAGAGUGGAAUUCCCGGUGUAGCGGUGAAAUGCGCAGAUAUCGGGAAGAACACCAAUGGCGAAGGCAGCUCGCUGGAACGGUACUGACGCUGAGGCGCGAAAGCGUGGGGAGCGAACAGG
rnacentral:rRNA from 1 species